AGUGAACGCUGGCGGUAGGCCUAACACAUGCAAGUCGAACGGCAGCACAGUAAGAGCUUGCUCUUACGGGUGGCGAGUGGCGGACGGGUGAGGAAUACAUCGGAAUCUACUUUUUCGUGGGGGAUAACGUAGGGAAACUUACGCUAAUACCGCAUACGACCUACGGGUGAAAGCAGGGGAUCUUCGGACCUUGCGCGAUUGAAUGAGCCGAUGUCGGAUUAGCUAGUUGGCGGGGUAAAGGCCCACCAAGGCGACGAUCCGUAGCUGGUCUGAGAGGAUGAUCGGCCACACUGGAACUGAGACACGGUCCCGACUCCUACGGGAGGCAGCAGUUGGGAAUCUUUGGCAAUGGGCGGAAGCCUGAUGCAGCCAAGCCGCGUGGGUGAAGAAGGUCUUCGGGUUGUAAAACCCUUUUUUUUGGGAAGAAAAAGUGUCUGAUUAACUCCCCACGUUUUGACGGUACCCAAAAAAAAAGCCACGGCUAACUUCGUG
rnacentral:rRNA from 1 species